CCCAACAAGAGAGAAAUCUGAGUAGUGAAGGAAGAUUUGAAGAUUGUCGUGGGAGUUCACAUCCAUCCAUCGCGAGAAUAUCUCUUCUGUUAGCCAAGGACAAGGACGCGAAAAUGGCCGAACAUUUGGCUUCAAUCUUCGGAACGGAGAAAGAUCGGGUGAAUUGCCCUUUCUACUUUAAGAUUGGAGCUUGCAGGCAUGGAGAUCGAUGCUCCAGGCUUCACACUAAACCUUCUAUAAGUCCAACCCUUUUACUUUCCAACAUGUACCUGCGACCUGACAUGAUUACUCCAGGUGUGGACGCUCUAGGCCAGUCCAUCGAUCCCCACAAAAUACAGGAACACUUUGAGGAUUUUUAUGAAGACUUAUUUGAGGAGCUGAGUAAGUAUGGCGAGAUUGAAAGCUUAAAUAUUUGUGACAAUCUUGCUGAUCACAUGGUUGGCAAUGUCUAUGUCCAGUUUAGGGAGGAAGAACAUGCAGCAAAUGCUCUAAAUAAUCUGAGUGGAAGGUUCUAUGCUGGGCGACCCAUCAUUGUUGACUUCUCCCCAGUGACCGACUUUCGUGAAGCCACAUGCAGGCAAUACGAGGAAAAUACCUGCAACCGUGGUGGCUAUUGCAACUUUAUGCAUCUCAAAAAGAUUGGCAGGGAGCUGAGGCGGCAGUUAUUUGGGAGGUACCGCAGAAGGCAUAGUCGUAGCCGCAGUCGAAGUCCAUACAGGCAUCGAAGUCAUGAAGACCGGUCUCACAGUAGUCGUGGCCACAGUAGAAGGCAUGAUGAUGAGAGAGAUUACUACUACCAUGAGAGUCGGAAAUACAAGAGCUCCAGCCCAGGUAAUGAGAGAGGACGAAGCAGGAGCCCAGGAGGGGGGAAGAGGAGGAGGAACAGAAGUCCGGUAAGAGAAGGGAGCGAAGAGAGACGUGCCAAAAUUGAGCAAUGGAAUAGGGAGAAGGAACAAGGAGGAGAGAAAAUCAAUGGAGGCGAAGGCAACCAUAAGCAGCAUGAGGAUGGAUAUCAGUACUGAUGAAUUUACUCUCUGCUACUAAUAAUACAAAUAUUGUUUGCACCAAGUUUUCACCACUUGACCUCAACAUUGUUCAUUGAACAACAAUGAUGAGUCAGGCACAGAGACAAUUGUACAACCAGGCUACUACUAAUUUACAUUCAUGAAUCAAAUGACUACUACUACUACAUAUGACGGGUUUUGUUUUCAUUCUUUAUUGAUGUAUUUUUUUAAUUCUUAAAUUAAAAGAUUUUGAGUUAUAUUGAUAAUGAGUGUUGCAGGUUCAAUCAGGUUUUUCUACAUGCAAGGUUUGAAGAAUACAUUAGUGUUUGAAAAAGAUUACAACUCAUGGUGAAAUUUGUGUACAGGUUGCUUGCUUUAUGUUUGAGGAGAAUUGUGUCUAAUUGGACUUUGCAGCUGCAGAUUCUCAAAUAACUUAAGAGAAGAAGAAGAAGAAGCUUCCAGCUGGUUAAUGCAUUUCAUGUUUAACUGUAGGUUACAAUAUAGGCAGUUGAGUUCAUCUUGUGACCAUCUUAUUUAUUAUGUCUGAUUCUGCAAUUGACAUUCAAAACUUUUCUUUUUAGGGUUUUUUUGAGAUGAUA